rnacentral:rRNA from 1 species
AUACGGAGGAUCCGAGCGUUAUCCGGAUUUAUUGGGUUUAAAGGGAGCGUAGGUGGAUUGUUAAGUCAGUUGUGAAGGUUUGCGGCUCAACCGUAAAAUUGCAGUUGAAACUGGCAGUCUUGAGUACAGUAGAGGUGGGCGGAAUUCGUGGUGCAGCGGUGAAAUGCUUAGAUAUCACGAAGAACUCCGAUUGCGAAGGCAGCUCACUAGACUGUUACUGACACUGAUGCUCGAAAGUGUGGGUAUCAAACAGGAUUAGAUACCCUGGUAGUCCACACAGUAAACGAUGAAUACUCGCUGUUUGCGAUAUACAGUAAGCGGCCAAGCGAAAGCAUUAAGUAUUCCACCUGGGGAGUACGCCGGCAACGGUGAAACUCAAAGGAAUUGACGGGG